rnacentral:rRNA from 1 species
GACGAACGCUGGCGGCGUGCUUAACACAUGCAAGUCGAACGGAAAGGCCCUGCUUUUGUGGGGUGCUCGAGUGGCGAACGGGUGAGUAACACGUGAGUAACCUGCCCUUGACUUUGGGAUAACUUCAGGAAACUGGGGCUAAUACCGGAUAGGAGCGCCUGCUGCAUGGUGGGGGUUGGAAAGUUUCGGCGGUUGGGGAUGGACUCGCGGCUUAUCAGCUUGUUGGUGGGGUAGUGGCUUACCAAGGCUUUGACGGGUAGCCGGCCUGAGAGGGUGACCGGCCACAUUGGGACUGGGAUACGGCCCAGACUCCUACGGGAGGCAGCAGUGGGGAAUAUUGCACAAUGGGCGGAAGCCUGAUGCAGCAACGCCGCGUGCUGGAUGACGGCCUUCGGGUUGUAAACCGCUUUCGCCUGUGACGAAGCGUGAGUGACGGUAAUGGGUAAAGAAGCACCGGCUAACUACGUG